rnacentral:rRNA from 1 species
AACGAGCGCUGGCGGCAGGCUUAACACAUGCAAGUCGAGCGCCCCGCAAGGGGAGCGGCAGACGGGUGAGUAACGCGUGGGAAUCUACCAUCUCUACGGAAUAACGCAUGGAAACGUGUGCUAAUACCGUAUACGUCCUUCGGGAGCAAGAUUUAUCGGAGAUGGAUGAGCCCGCGUUGGAUUAGCUAGUUGGUGGGGUAAAGGCCUACCAAGGCGACGAUCCAUAGCUGGUCUGAGAGGAUGAUCAGCCACACUGGGACUGAGACACGGCCCAGACUCCUACGGGAGGCAGCAGUGGGGAAUAUUGGACAAUGGGCGCAAGCCUGAUCCAGCCAUGCCGCGUGAGUGAUGAAGGCCCUAGGGUUGUAAAGCUCUUUCACCGGUGAAGAUAAUGACGGUAACCGGAGAAGAAGCCCCGGCUAACUUCGUGCCAGCAGCCGCGGUAACAC